ACAAGUACUAGCCCAACCAUAACUCAACUUAAUUUAUAUAACCAAUUAAAUCAAAACAUUUACCUUCGUGAAAGUAUAGGAGAUAGAAAACUCACUUGGCGCUAUAGAGAAAGUACCGUAAGGGAAUGAUGAAAGAUAACUAAAAGUAUAAAACAGCAAAGAUUACCCCUUUUACCUUUUGCAUAAUGAUUUAACUAGAACAAAUUAGCAAAGAGACCUUAAGUUAAUUACCCCGAAACCAGACGAGCUACCUACAAACAGCUUCACAGAGCAAACCCGUCUAUGUGGCAAAAUAGUGGGAAGAUUUGUAGUUAGAGGUGAAAAGCCUACCGAGCCUGGUGAUAGCUGGUUGUCCAGAGCAGAAUAUUAGUUCAAACUUAAACUCUACCUGAAAAACCCAACAAUUCCUAUGUAAGUUUAAGAACUAGUCUAGAGGGGUACAGCCCACUAGACAAAGGGUACAACCUUUAUUAGAGAGUAAGCUAUAAUCAACACCAUAGUGGGCCUAAAAGCAGCCAUCAAUUAAGAAAGCGUUAAAGCUCAACAAACCAACCACCUUUAUUCCUAAAUAACAAGCCAACUCCUAAUGUCACAACUGGACUAUUCUAUUACUAAUAGAAGCAAUACUGUUAAUAUGAGUAACGAGGAACUAAUUCUCCUAGCACAGUUUAUAUCAGAACG
rnacentral:rRNA from 1 species